UACGUAGGGGGCUAGCGUUGUCCGGAAUCAUUGGGCGUAAAGCGCGUGUAGGCGGUCCGGUAAGUCCGCUGUGAAAGUCGGGGGCUCAACCCUCGGAUGCCGGUGGAUACUGUCGGGCUUGAGUACGGAAGAGGCGAGUGGAAUUCCUGGUGUAGCGGUGAAAUGCGUAGAUAUCUGGAAGAACACCAGUGGCGAAGGCGCUCUACUGGGCCAUAACUGACACUGAGGGACGAAAGCUAGGGGAGCGAAAGGG
rnacentral:rRNA from 1 species